GUAAAGAGCUCGUAGGCGGCGUGUCGCGUCUGCUGUGAAAGACCGGGGCUUAACUCCGGUUCUGCAGUGGAUACGGGCAUGCUAGAGGUAGGUAGGGGAGACUGGAAUUCCUGGUGUAGCGGUGAAAUGCGCAGAUAUCAGGAGGAACACCGGUGGCGAAGGCGGGUCUCUGGGCCUUACCUGACGCUGAGGAGCGAAAGCAUGGGGAGCGAACAGGAUUAGAUACCCUGGUAGUCCAUGCCGUAAACGUUGGGCGCUAGGUGUGGGGACUUUCCACGGUUUCCGCGCCGUAGCUAACGCAUUAA
rnacentral:rRNA from 1 species